UAGGGAAUCUUCGGCAAUGGACGAAAGUCUGACCGAGCAACGCCGCGUGAGUGAAGAAGGUUUUCGGAUCGUAAAACUCUGUUGUUAGAGAAGAACAAGGACGUUAGUAACUGAACGUCCCCUGACGGUAUCUAACCAGAAAGCCACGGCUAACUACGUGCCAGCAGCCGCGGUAAUACGUAGGUGGCAAGCGUUGUCCGGAUUUAUUGGGCGUAAAGCGAGCGCAGGCGGUUUCUUAAGUCUGAUGUGAAAGCCCCCGGCUCAACCGGGGAGGGUCAUUGGAAACUGGGAGACUUGAGUGCAGAAGAGGAGAGUGGAAUUCCAUGUGUAGCGGUGAAAUGCGUAGAUAUAUAGAGGAACACCAGUGGCGAAGGCGGCUCUCUGGUCUGUAAAUGACGCUGAGGCUCGAAAGCGUGGGGAGCAAACAGG
rnacentral:rRNA from 1 species